rnacentral:snRNA from 1 species
GUGCUUGCUUCGGCAGCACGUAUAAAAAAUUGGAACAGUACAGAGAAGAUUAGCAUGGCCCCUAUGCAAGGAUGAUAUGCAAAUUCAUUAAUCUUUCCAUAUAAAA